GGAAGGAUCAUUAACACGUAUCCACGUUAUCAACCAACCGAGCACCUGUUUUCACCUCUCCCUUUGCCUGGAAUGAACUGAGUUGAAGUGUAAGUAUUGUUUGGGUAGUCUUCGGGCUACAGCUUACCCGACCACUGAGCGUGCGGCUGAAAGGCGGCGCUCGACAGUUGAAUCCAGGUUCUAAAAGGCAACCCCCGCUCUGGCUCGCUUUUGUCUCCAAACAAGACAGUGGCUUGCUGAGCAACUCAUAACCUAUUUCACCAACCCCCCUACCUUUUUGCUAGUUGACUUUUUAUAUGUUGCUCUGUUCGACUUCUCUCUUUGCUUCGGCAAGGGGGGCUGGCGUAGCGGGCACACGUUUAAUUACUUGAACGUUAAAAAAUACAACUCUUAGCAAUGGAUAUCUUGGUUCUCGCAACGAUGAAGAACGCAGCGAAAUGCGAUACGUAAUGCGAAUUGCAGAAUUCAGUGAAUCAUCAAAUCUUUGAACGCAAAUUGCGCUCUUGGGUAGCCCUAGGAGCACGCCUCUCUCAGUAUCGGUUCAACCUUCUCUCAGCAGCGUGCAGGCAACUGUGCGUGUUGGCUGGAUAAUGAGAGUCUGCGCUUGCAAAAGCGCAGUCUCUUGAAAUACAUGGAGUGAACAUAUGACUAUCGAGUCCAAUUCGGCUUCGGUCGAGUUGCCUGUCUUUCUGACUGCUGACUUCUCGGAUAGUGACGUGAAUAUUGGCCCUUACCGGUCUUAACUUUUACGUUUAUCUGUCCGGGAGACUAGCAUUAUAGUUGGAGAGUCUGGGUUAAUGGCUUUAGUGUAGUGGAAUGCCUCACGUUAGAGAACCAUAUGAUUUUCAUCUUAACGGAUGGAGUCUGAAUUUUGAUCUGAGAUGAAGCGAGACAACCCCCUGAAUUUAAGCAUAUUAAUAAGGGGAGGAAAAGAAACUAACAAGGAUUCCCCCAGUAACGGCGAGUGAAGCGGGAAGAGCUCAAUUUGAAAAUCGAUUACCUAAACGGGUCAUCGAGUUGUAGCCUAGAGACGUACUAUCAGCUGAAACCUGGGUAUAAGUUCUUUGGAAUGAGGCAUCAUAGAGGGUGAGAAUCCCGUAUAUGACCCAAAGCUUUCAGCGUACGAUGUAUGUUCAUCGAGUCGAGUUGUUUGGGAUUGCAGCUCUAAAUGGGUGGUAAGUUUCAUCUAAAGCUAAAUAAUGGCGAGAGACCGAUAGCGAACAAGUACCGUGAGGGAAAGAUGAAAAGAACUUUGAAAAGAGAGUUAAAAGUACUUGAAAUUGCUAAGAGGGAAGCGCUAGAAACCAGUGAUACGCUCGGUCAAUCGCUUUCGGCCCCACUAGUUUGUGUACGUACUGGGCAACCUUGCGUGCGCAUGCGAAAGGGUGGUCGGAGGUUUAUGAUCGAGUGUCAGUCAAGAUCAAUUCGGAUUGUGGGAGAAGGUAGCGAGAAAGGUAGGAGGGCAACCUCUGUUAUAUUCUUGUUACUCUACCUCGGCCUGGAUUGAGGAAGUAAUGGUGCGCCGCUUGCGGCUUGGUCCCGUGUCUCUGUUGUCCCAUUCGCUCUGAUAGCAAUGCUAUCUCUGUGGAGAAAGGCAAUACUGGGCGCGGUGAUUCUAUGUGCCAUCACGAUCUUGUACGAAAUGGUUUCUAUCGACCCGUCUUGAAACACGGACCAAGGAGUCUAACAUCUAUGCGAGUAUUUGGGUGCAAAACCCUGAUGCGUAAUGAAAGUAAAGGCAGGCUUGUCCUGCUGAGGUAGGAAUCCCGCAAGGGAGGCACUAUCGACCGAUCAUCACUUGUGAAAGAUUUGAGUAAGAGCAUAUCUGUUGGGACCCGAAAGAUGGUGAUCUAUGCCUGAACAGGGUGAAGCCAGGGGAAACUCUGGUGGAGGCUCGUAGCGAUACUGACGUGCAAAUCGUUCGUCUGAUUUGGGUAUAGGGGCGAAAGACUAAUCGAACCAUCUAGUAGCUGGUUCCCUC
rnacentral:misc_RNA from 1 species